UGCAGUUCCUCUGAGCUCCACAAAGUGGUGAUCUCACUUCUACCCAGACAAGAAGUCUCUAUGGAAGACAGGAAAUGAUGUCAGGUAUAAAUAGGAAGUUCCAGGUUAGAGGUGCGUCGGGAGGAAGUAGAGAGGAGACAUUGCUGAAAGUGGCAGCAGAGGAGAUUUGGGAAGUCUGGUGAAAAUGACCAUCACAUUUCUUCCAACUCCUGAUAGAAUACAGAAAUAAAAAGAAGAUUCCAGAAGUCCCCAGCAAGAUCACUGGGCUGCUGACAGGAGAGGUUCCUAUAAGGUGUCAGGAUGUCACUGUCUAUUUCUCCAU